rnacentral:ncRNA from 9 species
CGGCAUGGUCUAGUGGUAUGAUACCUCUUUCGGGUAGAGGUGGUCCCGGGUUCGAAUCCCGGUG